GAGGGUAUAGCUUGGUGGUAGAGUGUGUGCUUAGCAUGCAUGAGGUCCUAGGUUUAAUCCCUAGUACCUCCA
rnacentral:tRNA from 1 species